CCUACGGGAGGCAGCAGUGGGGAAUAUUGCACAAUGGGCGAAAGCCUGAUGCAGCGACGCCGCGUGAGGGAUGACGGCCUUCGGGUUGUAAACCUCUUUCAGCAGGGAAGAAGCGAAAGUGACGGUACCUGCAGAAGAAGCGCCGGCUAACUACGUGCCAGCAGCCGCGGUAAUACGUAGGGCGCAAGCGUUGUCCGGAAUUAUUGGGCGUAAAGAGCUCGUAGGCGGCUUGUCACGUCGGAUGUGAAAGCCCGAGGCUUAACCUCGGGUCUGCAUUCGAUACGGGCUAGCUAGGGUGUGGUAGAGGAGAUCGGAAUUCCUGGUGUAGCGGUGAAAUGCGCAGAUAUCAGGAGGAACACCGGUGGCGAAGGCGGAUCUCUGGGCCAUUACUGACGCUGAGGAGCGAAAGCGUGGGGAGCGAACAGGAUUAGAUACCCUGGUAGUCCACGCCGUAAACGUUGGGAACUAGGUGUUGGCGACAUUCCACGUCGUCGGUGCCGCAGCUAACGCAUUAAGUUCCCCGCCUGGGGAGUACGGCCGCAAGGCUAAAACUCAAAGGAAUUGACGGCUGAGACGNGCGAGCGACACGAGGAGAG
rnacentral:rRNA from 1 species